CAGCACACAAGAACUCCAAACGCCUGAACCGUAGCUGCCAGGGGUUCCUCCAGAACCUCCUCCCCCAGGAGCUUGCUAAAAGUGCCAGAAAUCUGGCCACUAGGCCAAGGAAUGCCCACAGCCCAGGAUUCCUCCUAAGCCGUGUCCCAUCUGUGCAGGACCCCACUGAAAACUGGACUGUUCAACUCACCUGGCAGCCACUUCCAGAGCUCCUGGAACUCUAGCCCAAGGCUCUCUGACUCUUUCCCAGAUCUUCUCGGCUUAGCAGCUGAAGACUGACACUGCCGGAUCGCCUCAGAAGCCUGCAGGACCAUCACAGACGCUCUAGGUAACUCUCACAGUAGAAGAGUUGCAGGGUGUUUAAGUUUGAAGAUACUGCCUGAUCCAUCGUUUCACAGAGAAAGAAGCUGAGGUUCAGAGGAGGUAAGUGACCUGCCUGACCAUACACAGCUCUAGUUUUAGAGCCCGGACUAGAGCCAUCUGGUGCCCUUUACAUCUAACUUCCUUAGAGAUGCAUUUACCAUGAAGCCACUAAAGCUUAAACUUCAGGGCCCCUCAAUUGCAGAGGCCUCUUCCAUGCCCCUUGCAGAACAUGAGCAAUGUGUUGCCAUGGCCAUAUAGGUUUUGUAAAAUCUGCAAAAGAAAGAUAUUUUAAACAGGAUCAGUUAAGAACACUCUCUUCCCAUUCUGACUUCCCCAUCACACUUCCCCCUCAUUUAAAGGAGCACUGGAGUGGCCAAGGAUAUUGAAUGUGUAUAACUUCAUAUUAUUUUUCCAAAAGAAGCCUCUACAAAACCUGGAUCCACCUCACCUGCAUUUAUAAUGUUAAUAAUACAUGUUAUUGAUUAUUCCAUGACCAUCCAUGAACCUGCUACUUAACGCAGGAAUUUAAACAUAACAAAAACUUACUUUAACUCUGAGUUCUGCCCCUCUCCCAUCCUCCCUCUCCCUCAGAGAUAGCCACUAUACUAAUUUUGUGUUUAUUGUCCCGUUGUCUUUUUGUUUUGUUUUGACACGUCAUUCGCUUUAAUAUAAAUACAUGUUUUGACUUGCACUGAACUUUGUGAAAGAAUAUUGUACUUGGUCUUCACUCAACAUAUUGUUGCAAGUAGUUGUGAUUCAAUCAUUUUCACUGCUGUUUAAUAUUCCAUUGUGUGAAUGUAUCAUAAUUAGUUUACUCAUUCUCCUGUCAAUGGGCAUUUGGGUUGUUUCAAAAAUUUUUGCUAUUUUGAAAGGUGCUGGUACAAAGAUUUUUGUAUAUAUUUUUGAAUAACCAUGUGCAAGAGUUUCCUUUGGGUAAAUACCUUGGAGUAGAAUUGCUGUUUCACAGAGUUUAAACAUGUUCACCUUUAUGAUAUAAUGUUAUGUUGUUUUCCAAAUCAUUUGGAACAAUAUACAAUGUAUGAGUGAUACAUUACAUAAGAGACCUAUUGUUUCAUCUCCUUUUCAAUACUUGAUAUUGUCAGGCUUCCUAUUUUCCCAAUUGUGUGGGUGUAGAAUGGUAUCUUUUUGCAGUCUGGCUUUCGAUUUCUUUAAUUACUAGUUAAGUUGUGCAUCUCUUCAUGUCAUUUGCAAUUCUUACAACAAUCUUGUAAGUUAGGGAUUAUCAUCACAAUGUGAUAGAUAUAGAAAAUAUGACACAGAGAGGUUAAGUAACAUAUCCAAGGUUACCCAGCUAGUAAGUGGUAGACCAAGGAUUCAUACUCAGUGUAAGCAAAGUUCUCACACCAAUUCUGUUAUAUUAACCACCUUAUUUCUUUGCUACAUAUGGUAUGGAAUAAAGAAUCUUGGAGAAGUUGCUGUUCCAGGUCUUGCAAGAUUGAAAACCUAAUCAUUGGUAAGGCUUUCUUUCCACAAGAUUGAAUUAGUAGCCAUUAAUCCACCGAGGCUAAUGUCUGUGCCCUUUGGGUAUUUGAAUUUAUCAAAACAAGUCUCUGCAGAAGUGAAAUGACCUAAUCGAUGUAGUUCUCUGGGUUUGUGAAGUGGGAACAUUAUUCUGUUUGCUUCAUGAUGAAUUAUUGAACUAAUACUUAAAUCAUUCCAUAAGUACAGAGUGAGGCUGAGCAACCAGGAGACACAGAGCUAAGAAAAAGUUGGCUUUUAAUAUCAUUCUCUGAACCAUUAAUCUGUCAGGAAAGAGGAAAAGAUGUCAUAUUUUAUUACAAAGAUGCCUAGAAUAUGCAAUUAAUCUAAUUACAACAGUUAUUAUUAUUUUUUAAAAAAUCAGUGCUUCCUGUGCCCUGGGCUCCAUAAUCCCUCCAGCCCAUGAAGUGACUUAACUGGGGAGAGUGGUGUUUCUAUCCUGGGCUGUUCCCAAGAAGCCACUGUCCAAUCAAGGUGUCUGUGAGACACCUUGAAAGAAAGGGAGCUGUGUGGGACAACCAAUUUUUAUUUGUCUAUCUCUCUGCUCUGCCUCAGGGACAUAGGAACAGAGUAAACAAAUGCUAUAAAUUCCUGCCCUAGGCACUGAUUUUUGAAGGAAUUGAAAAGACAAACAACAACUGUAACCCUGUAGUUUUGGAUGCAAAACUGUCCUAGCUUUAAGGUGUCUUGCAUAUCCUCGGUCCAGAUGCUUUCAAUAACUAGCCAAGAGAUAAAGAAUGAGUUCCUUUGUGGGAAGUUUGAAAAUAAAUAUGUCUGCAUCUUCACUUUGUAAUCUCUGGAAAAGGAUGCUCAUGGGUAUUUAAAGAAGCUGGCUCUGGGCAGCUGAAAAGGCAGGGAGAAAAGCCCACUUCAUUUUUUUAAAAAUAGCUUUAAUGAUAUAUAAUUCAUAUGCUAUAAAAUUUACCUUUUAGAAAUAGACCUGUGACUUUUAGUAUAUUCAUAGAAUUGUACAACCAUCAUCACUAUCUAAUUUUAAAACAUCCUAAUCCCCUCAAAAAGAAAGCUUGUACUGGUUAGCAGUCACUUGUAUAUUCUACGUGGAAGUCCCUUAUCAGAUAAAUGAUUUGCAAAUAUUUUCCCCAUUCUGUGGGUUGCCUUUUCACUUUCUUGAUAUUAUCUUUGAAGCGCAAAAGUUUUUAAUUUUGAUAAGGUUCAAUUUGUCUCUUUUUUUCUGUUGUCACUUAUGCUUUUGGUGUCAUAGCUAAUAAACCGUCAUCUAAUCAUAGGUCAUGAUUUACUUCUACGUUUUCUUAUAAGAGUUUUAUAGUUUUAUCUCUUAUUUUUAGGUCUGUAAUCCAUUUUGAGUUAUUUUUUAUAUAUGAUGUGAGUUAGGACUCCAAAUUUAGUCUUUUGCAUGGAGAUAUCCAGUUGACCCAGCACCAUUUGUUGAAAAGACUAUUAUUUCUCCAUUUAAUUUUCUUAGUAUUAUUGUUGAAAUGAAUUGACCACAAAUAUAAUGGUUAAUUUCUGGACUCUCAGUUCUGUUCCACUGAUCUAUAUAUCUAUUCAUAUGUGAGUAUUACACUAUUUUGAUUACUGUAGCUUUGUAGUAAGUUUUGAAAUCAAGAAAUAUUACUUUUCCAUCUUUGUUCUUUUUCAGAUUUUUUUUCUAUUCUGAGUCCCUUGUACUUCUGAAUGAAUUUUAGAAUCACCUUGUUGAUUUCUUUAAAUCAACUUGAAGGAAAAUUGGCAAUUGCCUUCAAACAGGCAAUUUGGAUUUUGAUAGGGAUUGCAUUAAAUCUGUAAGAUCAAUUUGGGGAGUAUCAUCAUCUUAACAAUAUUAAGCCUUUCGAUCCAUGAACAUGGUCUGUCUUUUAUUUACAUUCUUUCAAUGAUGUUUUGUAGUUUUUGGCAUACAAGUCUUGGGUUUCCUUUGUUAAAUUUGUUCCCAAGUAUUUUAUUCUUUUUGAUGCUAUUAUAAAUGGAGUGGUAUUCUUAAUUUCAUUUUUGGAUUGUUUAUAGCUAGUGUAUAGAAAUAAAAUUGAUUGCUGCAUAUUGAUCUUGUAUCCUGAUCAAGUAUCCUGAUUACUGAACUCAUGUAUUAGUUCUAAUAAUUUUUUGUGGAUCCCUUAGGAUUUUCUAUAUACAAGAUUAUAUCAUCUGCUAAUAGAGAUAGCUUUACAUCUUCCUUUUCAAACUGGAUGCCUUUAUUUCUUUUCCUUGCCUAACUGCUCUGGCUAGAACCUCCACUACAAGGUUGACUAGAAGUAGCAAGAGCCAGAUAUUCUUGUAUUGUUUCUCAUCUUAAGCAGAAACUUUCACCAUUAAAUAUGAUUUCACUGUCAGUUUUUUAUAAGUGCCGUUCAUUAGCUUGAGGAAGUUCUCUUCUAUUCCUAGUUUGUUAAGUGUGUUUAUUAUUUUUAAAAAGUGUUAGAUUUUGUCAAAUGCUUUUUCUUUGUUUGUUUUGUUUUGUUUUGAGACAAGUUUUCAUGCUGUCGCCCCGGCUGGAGUGCAGUGGUACAAUCUUGGCUCAUUUCAACCUCUGCUUCCCAGGUUCAAGUAAUUCUCCUGUCUCAGCCUCCCAAGUAACUGGGAUUACAGACACGUGCCACCACACCCGGCUAAUUUUUGUAUUUUUAGUAGAGAUGGAGUUUCACCAUUUUGGCCAGGCUUGUCUCAAACUCAUGAAUCAAGUGAUCUGCCCGCCUUGGCCUCCCAAAGUGCUGGGAUUACAGGCAUGAGCCACCAUGCCUUCUAUUACAAAGAAAACCAAAUGAGCCAAAAUGCUGCUUGCUAAAUCCAACUGAGUAAUGAUUCCCCAUGAGAGGAUCAGUCAUUUUAACUGGGUGUGAAGAAGACUUCCCCAGUCAGAUGCACCACGAAGACGCUAGAAGGUGUGCAGAGGACAAACACCUUUCCUCCUUCCCAGCUGCCCUUGCGUUGAACCCAUCCCUAGUUUCAUUCGCCACCAUCAAAACUCUGGACUACGCAAAGAACUGGCCAUCCUAUGCAGUACACCUCCUUUCCAUUCCCUUUUAAUGGAGCAGUCUGGCUCCCCCAGGCCAGGGACAAAAGGACCAGGCCAGUGGCUGCUGGACAUCCUACCUGAAGGGAGCAUCACCCUCAUUCUCAGAAACAACCUAACACAGCAGGCAAACCAUCUAUAUAGUGCACUGUGCUCACUGGCAUGGGGACACAGCACAGGAGUCCUUCCAAUCCUGCCCCAGGUGGGGAUGCCCCUCUGGUCUACCUCAUCCCCAAGGAACUGGUGGGACCACUUUUCCCUUGAAGGCCUAGUCUGUCCACUCUGAAACCCACCACCUGAGGGUCUGGUCUCUGCUCACCAUUUCAACAACAGCCUCAUCUAGCCCCUGAUGCAGGCUAACUUGAAAUGCCCUCCUACUGAGGGACUGGCAGUGUCUCAAGUUCCCAGCCUACCCUGUCCCAGGGCAUUUAUAGUAGAGGAGGGGCAAUGCAGGGAGGAUCCUAUCUUGAAUCUCCUCCCUCCUCUCCAGUACCUUGAUUGCCCCUUAGGUAUUCCAAUGUGUCUCUUCCGCGCAUCCCACCCCAACCCCACCGUGUUCCUAAUAGGAGAGCUGCUCUUGGAUUCUAAAAUAUCAUUGUGAGGGGCUGGGUCUUCUUUGUCUGUGCUUUCCCAGAACUAGCAUGAAGACUGUCAAAGAGCAGAUGUUCAAUUCAUGUUUGGUGAAUGACAUAAUUCAGAUGUUUGUCCCUUCUAAAUGUCAUGUUGAGAUAUAAUUCCCAGUGUUGGAGGUAAGGCCUGGUGGGAGGUGUUUGGACCAUCAAGGAGGGUCCCUCAUGGCAUGGUGCUGCCCUGGCCAUAGUGAGCGACUUCCCCUAUCUCUGGUCAUUUGAAAGCAUGUGGCACCUCCCACCCCCGCUCUGCUUGGCUGUCUUUCCUCCCACUGUUGCCACGUGACAUGCCUGCACCACCUUCCCCUCCUGGCAUGAGGAAAAGCUCCCCAAGACCUCCCCAGAAGCAGUUGCUGGUGCCACGCUCAUAGCCUGGUGAACUGUGAGCAAGUCAACCUCUUUUCUUUAGCAAUUACCCAGUCUCAGGUAUGCCUUUAGAGCAACACAAGAACUGCCUAGCACAAGGAACAAAAGAGCCAGUGAGCAAGUGUUCUCCUUUAUGAUGAUUUAAUUUCUCCAACAUUCUUGAAUACACAUAGCAACUGUGAGUAUAUAGCUUUUCAUUUUAUCACAACAAAAGACUUAAAGAAAUAAGAUUUUUAAACGUCAAAGGUUGCCAAUCAAUCGACACUUUUUUCCCACCAUCUUGUGAUCCCAACUGAUGCAGUGUUCAGUUGUUUCACAGUUUAAAGCCAAUCGCUAUUCCAAUGCUAUUUCUUCUUGCACUAGAUCAUAAUCUAGUAAGUAAAAAUUUCCAAUUUGUUUUACAAAAUACAAGAACAUCACUCUUCAAUGUGAUAAACAGCAAUAAUUGUGUGAGGCACCUAAUUCAUGAACUUAGAUUCUGAAUCAAAGUCAAUCUCUUUCAAAGGAACACGCGGUAGACACAGAAGAGAAAGAGGAAUCUAUAAGUGGCUUGCAAAUAACCAGAACAAAAGAAAGACACGUCUUGGGCUCCCCACCUCACCCCCAAAUACUGAGAUGGUGGACAGGCUUUUCAAUCUCUUAGUGAGGAUUGCCUGAGACUUCACUA
rnacentral:lncRNA from 1 species